GCCAGGAUAGCUCAGUGGUUGAGCAUCAACCCGUGAACCAGGAGAUCAUGGUUCAAAUCCUGGUCAGGGCA
rnacentral:tRNA from 1 species